rnacentral:rRNA from 1 species
CAGCCAUGCCGCGUGUAUGAAGAAGGCCUUCGGGUUGUAAAGUACUUUCAGCGGGGAGGAAGGCGAUGGGUUAAUAACCGCGUCGAUUGACGUUACCCGCAGAAGAAGCACCGGCUAACUCCGUGCCAGCAGCCGCGGUAAUACGGAGGGUGCAAGCGUUAAUCGGAAUUACUGGGCGUAAAGCGCACGCAGGCGGUCUGUUAAGUCAGAUGUGAAAUCCCCGGGCUUAACCUGGGAACUGCAUUUGAAACUGGCAGGCUUGAGUCUUGUAGAGGGGGGUAGAAUUCCAGGUGUAGCGGUGAAAUGCGUAGAGAUCUGGAGGAAUACCGGUGGCGAAGGCGGCCCCCUGGACAAAGACUGACGCUCAGGUGCGAAAGCGUGGGGAGCAAACAGGAUUAGAUACCGGGUAGUCCA